rnacentral:misc_RNA from 1 species
GAUGAAGAACGCAGCGAAAUGCGAUAAGUAAUGUGAAUUGCAGAAUUCCGUGAAUCAUCGAAUCUUUGAACGCACAUUGCGCCCCCUGGCAUUCCGGGGGGCAUGCCUGUCCGAGCGUCAUUUCUGCCCUCCAGCCCGGCUGGGUGUUGGGCGCUGUCCCCCCGGGGACACGCCCCAAAGGCAGUGGCGGCGCCGCGUCGGGUCCUCGAGCGUAUGGGGCUUUGUCACCCGCUCGGGACGGACUCGUCGGCGCUGGUCUUCCUCCAGGCGACCCUUCGGGGCUCGUCUUCCUUCGGUUGACCUCGGAUCAGGUAGGGUUACCCGCUGAACUUAAGCAUAUCAAUAAGCGGAGGA